UACGACUACAUAUCAGGCAUAUCAAUAAGCGGAGGAAAAGAAACUAACAAGGAUUCCCCUAGUAACGGCGAGUGAAGCGGGGAGAGCUCAAAUUUGAAAUCUUAAAGGGUUUCCCUUUACGAAUUGUAGUUUAAAGAAGUGUUUUCUGUUGGAGUUUCGGUAAAAGUUCUUUGGAAUAGGACAUCAUAGAGGGUGAGAAUCCCGUAUUUGACCGUUAUUUUCAGCUGUGUGAUACACUUUCAAAGAGUCGGAUUGUUUGGGAAUGCAGUCCAAAAUGGGUGGUAAAUUUCAUCUAAAGCUAAAUAUUGGCGAGAGAUCGAUAGCGAACAAGUACCGUGAGGGAAAGAUGAAAAGAACUUUGAAAAGAGAGUUAAACAGUACGUGAAAUUGUCAAAAGGGAAGCGUUUGACACCAGUGUUGUUUUCUCGAAAAUCAAUUAAAAAUGGCUUGAUUUUGUGUUGUAUUGACCUUAAAAGCUUUCUGCACCUUUUUCAUGUCAUUUUUUAAUGCACUUUUCGUUUAACAAGUCAACAUCAGUUUCUUUUGUUGUAAAAAGGUCAUUGGAAGGUGGCUUUCCUACGGAUGAAAGUGUUUAUAGCCUUUGACUCUUGCAAUCGGAGAGAUUGAGGUCUGCAGCGUAGAUCCUUCUGGAUUAGAUACAUUAGAUGCUAAGUUACUAGCUUUUUAUAGACAACUUGUUGACUAUGAUUAGUCAUGUAGCUUACUCGUUUACUGCUAAUUUUACCUACGCUUAGGAUGUUGAACGCGCACAGAGUCUC
rnacentral:rRNA from 1 species